GUGCCAGCAGCCGCGGUAAUACGUAGGGUGCGAGCGUUAAUCGGAAUUACUGGGCGUAAAGCGUGCGCAGGCGGUUUCGUAAGACAGAGGUGAAAUCCCCGGGCUCAACCUGGGAACUGCCUUUGUGACUGCGAGGCUAGAGUACGGCAGAGGGGGGUGGAAUUCCACGUGUAGCAGUGAAAUGCGUAGAGAUGUGGAGGAACACCGAUGGCGAAGGCAGCCCCCUGGGCCGAUACUGACGCUCAUGCACGAAAGCGUGGGUAGCAAACAGGAUUAGAUACCCUGGUAGUCC
rnacentral:rRNA from 1 species